rnacentral:rRNA from 1 species
UACGUAGGGUGCAAGCGUUUGUCCGGAAUUAUUGGGCGUAAAGAGCUCGUAGGCGGUUCGUCGCGUCGGCUGUGAAAUCCCCGAGGCUCAACCUCGGGUCUGCAGUCGAUACGGGCGGACUGGAGUUCGGCAGGGGAGACUGGAAUUCCUGGUGUAGCGGUGAAAUGCGCAGAUAUCAGGAGGAACACCGGUGGCGAAGGCGGGUCUCUGACGCCGAUAC